GUCCACGCCGUAAACGAUGGGCACUAGGUGUCGGGGGUAUCCACUCCCUCGGUGCCGCCGCUAACGCAUUAAGUGUCCCGCCUGGGAAGUACGGUCGCAAGAUUAAAACUCAAAGGAAUUGACGGGGGCCCGCACAAGCGGUGGAGCAUGUGGUUCAAUUCGAUGCUACGCGAAGAACCUUACCUGGGUUUGACAUCUGGCGAAUUUCCUGGAAACAGGAAAGUGCCCGCAAGGGAACGCCAAGACAGGUGCUGCAUGGCUGUCGU
rnacentral:rRNA from 1 species